GGCUGAUAUGAGAACACACACACACAAAGUCAUGUCAAAAUAUCCUAACCAAGCAAUUAACACACUGAAGACUGUGAACCAAACCUCAGGGGUGACUUGUGCCCACCUCAAGAGGAGCUCCAGCCUGGAUUUUCUUCUUGACCUGAGCCAAAGCCAGCCAUCAACUACUCCAUUUGCCAAGGUGACUUCACAAGAAACCACUGGCUUGUGUGAUCAAGAAAAAUGAAGUUUUACCUAAAGGGUCCCAGUAAUGCUUGCUUGCUUGCUUUCAUUUUUCUUUAAGAUUUGAUUUGUAAUCUCUAUUUAUAUUUUUUAGUUGAAGAGAAAAGUACCAAGUGGUCCGCAUUGUUGCUGCAUGGAUCCAGUGUACUGUUUGAAUCCUAUGCUUGGUUAUUCUCUUUAUAAGGUUUGCACAUUCUGUGUGUGUGUGUGUGUGUGUGUGUGAGAGAGAGAGAGUCUGAGUGGUUGGGGGCUCUAAUGUUCAAUCUCUUUGCCAAGGGCAUACCUGCUGACACUAAACUGAUGUAUUGUAGCACAUAUACUUGGGAUGAAGUAAUGCUCAUUGUCAAUGUGAUUGUACAUUUUUUUAGUUUUUUUUUUUUCCCCCAAUUUUUUCACUAAGGGUUACGCCUUGAAGUUUAUAAAAUGUAAAAAUUCUAUAUUUGUCACUUUUUUUUAAAAUUACCAAAUGUUCAAACAGAAAUAAAGUAUACAAGUGAUAUUUUUAGCAGGACAGGUGCUUGUAGAAAAAAAAAAUGUUAGUGCUGUCCUGAAGAGAUAAGAAACACAGGGUGUUAGACAUUGUGCCUGAAAACCUGAACUUUUUAUGCUUUAGUUACUCAGCUGUCUAAACCCUAAUGUUACAGAGCAUUUCUGCCACGCAAAGCAAUAAUCCAUGAGUACAACAUGUCCUCUAAAGUGUCUAAGCUGCUAUUUUCAUGCAUUUCUGUUCAUUUUGCUUCUUAGGGCAAACUCUUCUUUAGAGGAUAAUAGUACUCUCUAGUUUUUUCCACAGUAUUUAUGAUUUGUCCCAUUUGCCCAAUAUUUCAAUGACUGGGAUUUUGUUCAUAAACAAUCUCUCACACCAUUUUUGCUUCAUAGACGUGUGUGUGAAUGUGUGUUUUAAAUCACUUGUCUGUGGUGAACACUCUUACAAGAGCUCAGAAUUAAGGAAGGUGGGGUUUUAAUGCCACAGGGACAAUAAAGUAGUGUGAUCUCUAGAUUAAAUGAAAUGUAUACAGGUUUAAUCUGAAUUAUGCCAUCUUCCACUUUUUUAUAAAUUUUAAGCAACAUGAACACUAGGAUAGGAUUUCUGUACAAGUGAACUAUGUUACCAUGAAGCUGUGUUAUGUAACUGACAUGAAAUAAAAGGAUGAAUUUCUUAUUUCA